GACAGAGGGUGCAAACGUUGUUCGGAAUUACUGGGCGUAAAGCGCGUGUAGGCUGCUCCGAAAGUCGGAUGUGAAAGCCCUGGGCUCAACCUAGGAAGUGCACUCGAAACUUCGGAGCUGGAGCCUGGAGAGGAAGGCGGAAUUCUCGGUGUAGAGGUGAAAUUCGUAGAUAUCGAGAGGAACACCGGUGGCGAAGGCGGCCUUCUGGACAGUGACUGACGC
rnacentral:rRNA from 1 species